GGAAGCCAAAUGAUAGACUCCUUCUAAUAGACUUCUAGAACAAGGCAUGUCUGUUGUUGGCAUUGACGUAGGAGUUUUCUUCUUGGUUACUCUGGAAACUGGGGAUCCCUGGCUGGUGCCACCCUACCUGGGGCUCACUUGCACACACUGGCAUGCCCCAGCUUGCCUGUGUUACAGCUUGUAGCCACGUUUGGCAUUCCUGAGCUCUUGUACUGUGCCCAAGAAGAAUGAGGUUAUGCUGGACAUUGAAGCGUGAGGAGGGCAAAGAAGCAUUUUUAUCGAGCAAUGGAAAUAGUUUUCAGCAGAGAGAGGAUGCGAGGUUGGACCUCCUACCUGAAGAAGCUAUUUUCUGAAUGAAAGAGUGGAGGUACCAGGAUGGUCUCCUUGAAUGAUGGCUGGAGCCUGUUAUGAUAAUGUCACUACUAUAUGUUUGUCUUCUGGAAUAUCUUUUGGAAAUUAUGAUGCCAUUAGCCAAGAAUCUGCUGGUAAUGCAAGAAUGUCAUGUGUGGAGGUUAUUCCUGGCAAAGUCUGUGCAAGGGGACCCAGAUACAAAUCAUUUUACUCAAGUCUUGGAGCAGCCUUCGAAGAAAAACAAAUUUCAUACCAGCCAGAACCUGAGUGGAGGCCAAGAACUGCCAACAUGUUUGGAAGGCCAAACGCUUUUAGAAAUAUGGUCCCUGACUACCUUUUAGAGAGACUAUCACUUGAAAAAGAAAGUGACUUGGAACUUUGUUAUUUACAAAC
rnacentral:lncRNA from 1 species